CCUACGGGUGGCAGCAGUAGGGAAUUUUCGUCAAUGGGCGCAAGCCUGAACGAGCGAUGCCGCGUGAGUGAAGAAGGCCUUCGGGUCGUAAAGCUCUGUUGCGGGGGAAAAAAGGCAGCAUAAGGAAAUGGGUGCUGACUGAUGGUGCCCCGCCAGAAAGUCACGGCUAACUACGUGCCAGCAGCCGCGGUAAUACGUAGGUGGCGAGCGUUAUCCGGAAGGAUUGGGCGUAAAGGGUGCGCAGGCGGUCCUGCAAGUCUGGAGUGAAAGGCAAGAGCUCAACUCAUGCAUGGCUUUGGAAACUGGAGGACUGGAGAGCAGGAGAGGGCGGUGGAACUCCAGGUGUAGCGGUAAAAUGCGUAGAUAUAUGGAAGAACACCAGUGGCGAAGGCGGCCGCCUGGCCUGUUGCUGACGCUGAGGCACGAAAGCGUGGGGAGCAAAUAGGAUUAGAUACCCGAGUAGUC
rnacentral:rRNA from 1 species